UGGCGUAGUGGUUAAGUGCUACGGCUGCCAACCGUAAGGGUCGGCAGUUCGAAUCUGCC
rnacentral:tRNA from 1 species